rnacentral:rRNA from 1 species
UACGUAGGGCGCAAGCGUUAUCCGGAAUUAUUGGGCGUAAAGAGUUCGUAGGCGGUUUGUCGCGUCUGCCGUGAAAGUCCGGGGCUCAACUCCGGAUCUGCGGUGGGUACGGGCAGACUAGAGUGAUGUAGGGGAGACUGGAAUUCCUGGUGUAGCGGUGAAAUGCGCAGAUAUCAGGAGGAACACCGAUGGCGAAGGCAGGUCUCUGGGCAUUAACUGACGCUGAGGAGCGAAAGCAUGGGGAGCGAACAGG